rnacentral:rRNA from 1 species
GAUGAACGCUGGCGGCGUGCCUAAUACAUGCAAGUCGAGCGAACGGACGAGAAGCUUGCUUUUCUGAUGUUAGCGGCGGACGGGUGAGUAACACGUGGAUAACCUACCUAUAAGACUGGGAUAACUUCGGGAAACCGGAGCUAAUACCGGAUAAUAUUUUGAACCGCAUGGUUCAAAAGUGAAAGACGGUCUUGCUGUCACUUAUAGAUGGAUCCGCGCUGCAUUAGCUAGUUGGUAAGGUAACGGCUUACCAAGGCAACGAUGCAUAGCCGACCUGAGAGGGUGAUCGGCCACACUGGAACUGAGACACGGUCCAGACUCCUACGGGAGGCAGCAGUAGGGAAUCCUCCGCAAUGGGCGAAAGCCUGACGGAGCAACGCCGCGUGAGUGAUGAAGGUCUUCGGAUCGUAAAACUCUGUUAUUAGGGAAGAACAUAUGUGUAAGUAACUGUGCACAUCUUGACGGUACCUAAUCAGAAAGCCACGGCUAACUACGUG